UCCUUGCCACUCCUCCCUCCCGGGACACAGUCCCUUCCAGGGGCCCCUGUAAGACUACAGCCCAUCUCUUCUAAUUCAGGCAAUUUCUGCUUUCUUCUCUGUGGUACUACUUUCCCUUGAGGCAAGGGGAACACCAGGAGCCUGGCUACCUGCAGGGAAAAGGCACGUAGAGUAAAAACAUCCAUCUCAGAGCAAAUGACAUCCCCAUCUGGCUAUGCAUCUCGGCAGGGCCAGGAGAGUGGGCUGAGUAAAGAACAAUGAGGGCAGGCCAGCUUCACCCUGGAUGUGAUCUCCUUUGAAGCAAGAAGGAGUCCUAAAAACAUGGAAAAUUCCCCAACAAGGACUUACUUCUGGCUUUGCAAGAUUCUAGCUAGAGCUGUGCCUCCAGCCUGGGACGAUAACAACCCUACAAGUGGAUUGAUCCAGAGGUGAUGCCUGCUCCAAGCUGGGCGAUUAGAUGAAAUGGACUAUGCCUGCAGAGCCUCCUUGAAAAUGGACAACAACAGAAACUGCCUCUUCUACUGGCUAGUCAUAUGACCUCAAGUAAGGACUUUAACCUCUCUUGACCUGUUUCCCCAUGUGUAAAAAUAUUUUGGACUAGAUGGUUUUUCUGCUCUUGCAUUAUAUUUUUCAUGAUGAAGAUGGGUUCCUGAGUAGGUGAGUCCUUGCUUCCAGACCAAUUCUAUCAGAUGCUACACUCUCAUGACUUAAACUCAACUAUCUAAGUAACAGUUCCAUCAUCUGUGAAAUGAGGAUGAUGAUGAAGAUAGUGACUAAUAUGUUAUUAAAUGACAGAGUGCAUGGUGAAUGUUCAAAAGAUCACUGGCUUCUGGUUGCUGCGAUUGUAAUUAUUGCUACAUAAACCAGACUUGAAAUUAAAGGAAAGGCAGAAAGAAGGAAAAAGAAGACCAAUAUGAAAAUAUCAUAACCAUCUAGCCAGAAGAAUAAGGAGAUCAAACCAUUUGGCUUCUCAAGUGCAUAAAAAGGUGGAGGAAAGGAGGAAAAGAAUCAGCAUGAUUCUUUAGGCAUGUAGAAAUGUAAAGCGUGUUUAACUGUGGCCUGAGGACAGAAAGUAACACUAUCUAAUAUAAAGGAUCAUCCAUAUACAAACAGAAUUGGGUAAAAUCACAACUCUGGCAUGAGUAAUAAUGUCUAUAUUAAACUUGA